GAGGUUUCGAAGGCGAGUAACCUCCAUGGUGGCUUUUGAAUGGCUCUUCCUCAGCCUGUGAAGUUCAUCGUCCAUCUUUUUUGAUUUCUUUGUUAGGUGACAAACUUUUCUUCUUAGAUCUCAGACCAUGGACUUCAGAGGAAUCCCCUGUGGUAGGGGAAGAGCUUUGGCAGGGCACUAUUGUCGGGAAACAAGAGCGUCACAAUGC
rnacentral:lncRNA from 1 species